rfam:Salmo salar isolate Sally breed double haploid chromosome ssa03, whole genome shotgun sequence.
UGGCUCAGUUGGUAGAGCGUGGUGUUUGCAACGCCAGGGUUGUGGGUUUGAUUCCCAC